rnacentral:lncRNA from 1 species
GACAGCAUGUGUCUGGUGGCAGCACCCAAAUGUUAAAAUCCAGCAUGCAAAGCCAAAAUCAUCAACAUGUGAUUUACCAGUGAAUCAGCCUGAAUUUGCUCCCUUCAAGAAGAAUGGUGCCUGUAUGUAAAAAUCACAAAGCAUGCACCGUUGGUGGCACUUGGUGGCUUAUUCAUUAUUCUGUUUGGUAGAUUGGAGAGGCAGAAGAAUAAAAAGAGUUAUUGUUCUCAUUUCCAUGUGAUUUGACUCAGGCAUGUUUAAAGAGUAGCUCUUGUACCAGGGAAAUGAAGAUUUGAUCCUGCACUGCUCUUAAGACACUCAGGAAUCUCUCCGUUACCUCAGAGAAUCUGGCCACAAACAGGACUCAGAGUGGAAAUUGCCCAACCUGUCUGCUAUCACUCUCUUGAAAGAGACAGAUCCGAUCAGCAUCUCUCAACUGUGACUCAUGAGGUAUUUUUGGCUAUGUCAAGAACAUUCUCAAACAAGGUUGUACUGAAUUUUCUCUAUUGAUUCCCCUUCCUGAACACAGUCCAUGGUCCAUUCUCUGCCUUGUACGCCCUAGUAUAGGUUCCAGGAAGCUAAACCUUACAGAGAGAAACACAGGCUCUCUUGCCACCUGAUUCUCAUGUGGGUUUGGUCGAGGAAGGACCAAGAGGAACUUGGAAAUCAGAAGGAAAAAGAG